rnacentral:misc_RNA from 1 species
GAUGAAGAACGCAGCGAAAUGCGAUAAGUAGUGUGAAUUGCAGAAUUCAGUGAAUCAUCGAAUCUUUGAACGCACAUUGCGCCUCCUGGUAUUCCGGGAGGCAUGCCUGUUCGAGCGUCAUUAAAAUCACUCAAGCUUAGGUUUACCUAUUGCUUGGUCUUGGAGAUGGAAGCCAAUUCAUUGGAAUCCUCUUCGAAAUCCAAUGGCGAAGACCCUUGCUCUCCCAAGUGUAGUAAUAACUUAUGUCACUGAAGGAAGCGAGAAAUCUUCCGCCGUAACCCCCAUAUUUUCUAUGAUUGACCUCGGACCAGGUAGGGAUACCCGCUGAACUUAAGCAUAUCAAUAAGCGGAGGA